GACGAACGCUGGCGGCGUGCUUAACACAUGCAAGUCGAACGGAAAGGCCCUGCUUUUGUGGGGUGCUCGAGUGGCGAACGGGUGAGUAACACGUGAGUAACCUGCCCUUGACUUUGGGAUAACUUCAGGAAACUGGGGCUAAUACCGGAUAGGAGCUCCUGCUGCAUGGUGGGGGUUGGAAAGUUUCGGCGGUUGGGGAUGGACUCGCGGCUUAUCAGCUUGUUGGUGGGGUAGUGGCUUACCAAGGCUUUGACGGGUAGCCGGCCUGAGAGGGUGACGGGCCACAUUGGGACUGGGAUACGGCCCAGACUCCUACGGGAGGCAGCAGUGGGGAAUAUUGCACAAUGGGCGGAAGCCUGAUGCAGCAACGCCGCGUGCGGGAUGACGGCCUUCGGGUUGUAAACCGCUUUCGCCUGUGACGAAGCGUGAGUGACGGUAAUGGGUAAAGAAGCACCGGCUAACUACGUG
rnacentral:rRNA from 1 species